AUGGUCAACUCUACCGUGUUCUUCGACAUUGCCGUCGACGGCGAGCCCUUGGGCCGCGUCUCCUUCGAGCUGUUUGCAGACAAGGUUCCAAAGACAGCAGAAAAUUUUCGUGCUCUGAGCACUGGAGAGAAAGGAUUUGGUUAUAAGGGUUCCUGCUUUCACAGAAUUAUUCCAGGGUUUAUGUGUCAGGGUGGUGACUUCACACGCCAUAAUGGCACUGGUGGCAAGUCCAUCUAUGGGGAGAAAUUUGAAGAUGAUAACUUCAUCCUAAAGCAUACAGGUCCUGCCAUCUUGUCCAUGGCAAAUGCUGGACCCAACACAAAUGGUUCCCAGUUUUUCAUCUGCACUGCCAAGACUGAGUGGUUGGAUGGCAAGCAUGUGGUCUUUCGCAAAGUGAAAGAAGGCAUGAAUAUUGUGGAGGCCAUGGAGCACUUUGGGUCCAGGAAUGGCAAGACCAGCAAGAAGGUCACCAUUGCUGACUGUGGACAACUCGAAUAA